rnacentral:rRNA from 1 species
AUUGAACGCUGGCGGCAUGCCUUACACAUGCAAGUCGAACGGUAACAGGUCUUCGGAUGCUGACGAGUGGCGAACGGGUGAGUAAUGCAUCGGAACGUGCCCAGUUGUGGGGGAUAACUGCUCGAAAGAGCAGCUAAUACCGCAUACGACCUGAGGGUGAAAGCGGGGGAUCGCAAGACCUCGCGCAAUUGGAGCGGCCGAUGUCAGAUUAGGUAGUUGGUGGGGUAAAGGCCUACCAAGCCGACGAUCUGUAGUUGGUCUGAGAGGACGACCAGCCACACUGGGACUGAGACACGGCCCAGACUCCUACGGGAGGCAGCAGUGGGGAAUUUUGGACAAUGAGCGCAAGCCUGAUCCAGCAAUGCCGCGUGCAGGAAGAAGGCCUUCGGGUUGUAAACUGCUUUUGUCAGGGAAGAAAUCCUCUGGGUUAAUACCCCGGGGGGAUGACGGUACCUGAAGAAUAAGCACCGGCUAACUACGUGCCAGCCGCCGCCGUAACAC